CGCAGCCGCGGGAAUACGAAGGGGGCUAGCGUUGUUCGGAUUUACUGGGCGUAAAGCGCACGUAGGCGGAUCGAUCAGUCAGGGGUGAAAUCCCAGAACUCAACUCUGGAACUGCCUUUGAUACUGUCGAUCUGGAGUAUGGAAGAGGUGAGUGGAAUUCCGAGUGUAGAGGUGAAAUUCGUAGAUAUUCGGAGGAACACCAGUGGCGAAGGCGGCUCACUGGUACAUUACUGACGCUGAGGUGCGAAAGCGUGGGGAGCAAACAGGAUUAGAUACCCGAGUAGUCCCUGUCUCUUAUACA
rnacentral:rRNA from 1 species